rnacentral:rRNA from 1 species
GGUCAAGCAAUAAGGGCACAGGGCGGAUGCUUGGCACUAAGAGCCGAUGAAAGACGUGAUAAGCUGCGAUAAGCUUCGGGG